UUAUUCGUUCUUAUCGUAUUU
rnacentral:piRNA from 1 species